rnacentral:rRNA from 1 species
UACAGAGGUCUCAAGCGUUGUUCGGAUUCAUUGGGCGUAAAGAGCUCGUAGGCGGUCUGUUGCGUCCGCUGUGAAAACCCGGGGCUUAACCCCUGGCUUGCAGUGGAUACGGACAGACUAGAGGUAGGUAGGGGAGAAUGGAAUUCCCGGUGUAGCGGUGAAAUGCGCAGAUAUCGGGAGGAACACCGGUGGCGAAGGCGGUUCUCUGGGCCUUACCUGACGCUGAGGCACGAAAGCUAGGGGAGCAAACAGG